UGAUAGAAUACAAGAUUGCGCCGAUUGCAGCAGAAUUCGUGAGAGUAAUUUUGGUAUGACGUCAUCGUAGUUGACAACUGAGAACGGCAAAUAAAACUGCUCUCUAGUGAUGUGCUGAAUUGUCGGUACCUAAAAAAAAUUACGGUACUCAAUACUUCC